GACGAACGCUGGCGGCGUGCUUAACACAUGCAAGUCGAACGGAAAGGCCCUGCGGUUUCCUCGAUUUGCGAAGGGGUGAGUAACACAGUGAUGAGCGGCGCUUCACUUUUGGAUAAGCGUGGGAAACUGGGUCUAGUACCCAAUAGGAGCACGCGAUUCAUGGUGUUUGGUGUAAAGCUUGUGCGGUGUGGUAUGGGCCCGCGGCCUAGCUGCUUGGUGGUGGGGUAAUGGCGUUGCCAGGCGACGACGGGUAGCCGGCCUGAGAGGGUGACCGGCCACACUGGGACUGAGAUACGGCCCAGAGUGCUACGGGAGGCAGCAGUGGGGAAUAUUGCACAAUGGGCGCAAGCCUGAUGCAGCGACGCCGCGUGAGGGAUGACGGCCUUCGGGUUGUAAACCUCUUUCAAUAGGGACGAAGCGCAAGUGACGGUAACUAUAGAAGAAGCACCGGCCAACUACGUG
rnacentral:rRNA from 1 species